rnacentral:rRNA from 1 species
GGGUUGUGAGGUUAAGCGACUAAGCGUACACGGUGGAUGCCCUGGCAGUCAGAGGCGAUGAAGGACGUGCUAAUCUGCGAAAAGCGCCGGCGAGGUGAUAUGAACCCUUGACCCGGCGAUGUCCGAAUGGGGAAACCCAGUGCAAUCCGUUGCACUAUCGUUAACUGAAUACAUAGGUUAACGAGGCGAACCGGGGGAACUGAAACAUCUAAGUACCCCGAGGAAAAGAAAUCAACCGAGAUUCCCCCAGUAGCGGCGAGCGAACGGGGAGCAGCCCGGAGUCUGAAUCAGCUUGUGUGUUAGUGGAACGGUCUGGAAAGUCCGACGGUACAGGGUGAUAGUCCCGUACACGAAAGCACACAUGCUGUGAACUCGAAGAGUAGGGCGGGACACGUGGUAUCCUGUCUGAAUAUGGGGGGACCAUCCUCCAAGGCUAAAUACUCCUGACUGACCGAUAGUGAACCAGUACCGUGAGGGAAAGGCGAAAAGAACCCCGGCGAGGGGAGUGAAAAAGAACCUGAAACCGUGUACGUACAAGCAGUGGGAGCCUCUUUUAUGGGGUGACUGCGUACCUUUUGUAUAAUGGGUCAGCGACUUAUAUUCUGUAGCAAGGUUAACCGUAUAGGGGAGCCGAAGGGAAACCGAGUCUUAACUGGGCGUUAAGUUGCAGGGUAUAGACCCGAAACCCGGUGAUCUAGCCAUGGGCAGGUUGAAGGUUGGGUAACACUAACUGGAGGACCGAACCGACUAAUGUUGAAAAAUUAGCGGAUGACCUGUGGCUGGGGGUGAAAGGCCAAUCAAACCGGGAGAUAGCUGGUUCUCCCCGAAAGCUAUUUAGGUAGCGCCUCGUGAACUCAUCUUCGGGGGUAGAGCACUGUUUCGGCUAGGGGGCCAUCCCGGCUUACCAACCCGAUGCAAACUACGAAUACCGAAGAAUGUUAUCACGGGAGACACACGGCGGGUGCUAACGUCCGUCGUGAAGAGGGAAACAACCCAGACCGCCAGCUAAGGUCCCAAAGUCAUGGUUAAGUGGGAAACGAUGUGGGAAGGCACAGACAGCCAGGAUGUUGGCUUAGAAGCAGCCAUCAUUUAAAGAAAGCGUAAUAGCUCACUGGUCGAGUCGGCCUGCGCGGAAGAUGUAACGGGGCUAAACCAUGCACCGAAGCUGCGGCAGCGACACUAUGUGUUGUUGGGUAGGGGAGCGUUCUGUAAGCCGUUGAAGGUGUGCUGUGAGGCAUGCUGGAGGUAUCAGAAGUGCGAAUGCUGACAUAAGUAACGAUAAAGCGGGUGAAAAGCCCGCUCGCCGGAAGACCAAGGGUUCCUGUCCAACGUUAAUCGGGGCAGGGUGAGUCGACCCCUAAGGCGAGGCCGAAAGGCGUAGUCGAUGGGAAACAGGUUAAUAUUCCUGUACUUGGUGUUACUGCGAAGGGGGGACGGAGAAGGCUAUGUCAGCCGGGCGACGGUUGUCCCGGUUUAAGCAUGUAGGCGGAGGUUCCAGGUAAAUCCGGUACCUUGUUAACGCUGAGGUGUGAUGACGAGGCACUACGGUGCUGAAGUGAUAAAUGCCCUGCUUCCAGGAAAAGCCUCUAAGCAUCAGGUAACACGAAAUCGUACCCCAAACCGACACAGGUGGUCAGGUAGAGAAUACCAAGGCGCUUGAGAGAACUCGGGUGAAGGAACUAGGCAAAAUGGUGCCGUAACUUCGGGAGAAGGCACGCUGAUAUGUAGGUGAAGCCCCUGCGGGCGGAGCUGAAAUCAGUCGAAGAUACCAGCUGGCUGCAACUGUUUAUUAAAAACACAGCACUGUGCAAACACGAAAGUGGACGUAUACGGUGUGACGCCUGCCCGGUGCCGGAAGGUUAAUUGAUGGGGUUAGCGGCAACGCGAAGCUCUUGAUCGAAGCCCCGGUAAACGGCGGCCGUAACUAUAACGGUCCUAAGGUAGCGAAAUUCCUUGUCGGGUAAGUUCCGACCUGCACGAAUGGCGUAAUGAUGGCCAGGCUGUCUCCACCCGAGACUCAGUGAAAUUGAACUCGCUGUGAAGAUGCAGUGUACCCGCGGCAAGACGGAAAGACCCCGUGAACCUUUACUAUAGCUUGACACUGAACACUGGUCCUUGAUGUGUAGGAUAGGUGGGAGGCUUUGAAGCGUGGACGCCAGUCUGCGUGGAGCCGACCUUGAAAUACCACCCUUUAAUGGCUGGUGUUCUAACGUGGACCCGUAAUCCGGGUUGCGGACAGUGUCUGGUGGGUAGUUUGACUGGGGCGGUCUCCUCCCAAAGAGUAACGGAGGAGCACGAAGGUUGGCUAAUCCUGGUCGGACAUCAGGAGGUUAGUGCAAUGGCAUAAGCCAGCUUGACUGCGAGCGUGACGGCGCGAGCAGGUGCGAAAGCAGGUCAUAGUGAUCCGGUGGUUCUGAAUGGAAGGGCCAUCGCUCAACGGAUAAAAGGUACUCCGGGGAUAACAGGCUGAUACCGCCCAAGAGUUCAUAUCGACGGCGGUGUUUGGCACCUCGAUGUCGGCUCAUCACAUCCUGGGGCUGAAGUAGGUCCCAAGGGUAUGGCUGUUCGCCAUUUAAAGUGGUACGCGAGCUGGGUUUAGAACGUCGUGAGACAGUUCGGUCCCUAUCUGCCGUGGGCGCUGGAGAAUUGAGGGGGGCUGCUCCUAGUACGAGAGGACCGGAGUGGACGCAUCACUGGUGUUCGGGUUGUCAUGCCAAUGGCAUUGCCCGGUAGCUAAAUGCGGAAGAGAUAAGUGCUGAAAGCAUCUAAGCACGAAACUUGCCCCGAGAUGAGUUCUCCCUGAGACUUUAAGUCUCCUGAAGGAACGUUGAAGACGACGACGUUGAUAGGUCGGGUGUGUAAGCGCAGCGAUGCGUUGAGCUAACCGAUACUAAUGAACCGUGAGGCUUAACCUUACAACGCCGAAGGUGUUU